rnacentral:rRNA from 1 species
UGGGGAAUAUUGCACAAUGGGGGAAACCCUGAUGCAGCGACGCCGCGUGAACGAAGAAGGUAUUCGUAUCGUAAAGUUCUGUCCUAUGGGAAGAUAAUGACAGUACCAUAGAAGAAAGCUCCGGCUAAAUACGUGCCAGCAGCCGCGGUAAUACGUAUGGAGCGAGCGUUGUCCGGAACUAUUGGGCGUAAAGGGUACGCAGGCGGUUUAAUAAGUCGAAUGUUAAAGAUCGGGGCUCAACCCCGCAAAGCAUUGGAAACUGAUAAACUUGAGUAGUGGAGAGGAAAGUGGAAUUCCUAGUGUAGUGGUGAAAUACGUAGAUAUUAGGAGGAAUACCAGUAGCGAAGGCGACUUUCUGGACACAAACUGACGCUGAGGUACGAAAGCGUGGGGAGCAAACAGG